rnacentral:lncRNA from 1 species
GCUGCGUUCAAUAUAAGAGAUCUAAGUGGCAGGACAAGAACCUUCACUUUUACAUAAACCAUUUUCGAGCUUAAGAAUUCCAGCAAAUGGUCCGGUGAGAGUUCCGAUAUAUAGAUUGCCCUCAAAUUCGUUGACUUCGCUGAGUAAAGUGUCUCCAAAUUUAUCUUUGAGAGGAAUUGUCUGAAGCACUUCACCAUUAGAGUUAACUUUAACUGCUGAUGGGUUUGUAGGCACGAUGAUCUUGUUCACCACGGAAGCGACCCAAAAGUUUCCAGUAGAACCAAUUCUUUUGAUGUUGUCAGGGUUUGAGACCGAGUUGGUGAAGUCU